GGAAGGCGUCAGGAUACUUCUAGAAUUGAGGAAGGUAGGGGGUGGCGGAACCUUACAAGGAGGGGUGAAAUCCACUGAUCUGUAAGGGAACACCGAAGGCGAAGGCAGCCACCUAGGCCUUUUCUGACACUAAGGCACGAAAGCUAGGGUAGCAAAACGGAUUAGAUACCCGUGUAGUCCUAGCCGUAAACGAUGAGCACUAGCUAUUCCCUUUUGGGAGUGGCGUAAGCUAACGCGUUAAGUGCUCCGCCUGGGGAGUACGGCCGCAAGGCUAAAACUCAAAGGAAUUGACGGGGACCCGCACAAGCGGUGGAGCGCGUGGUUUAAUUCGAUGAUAAGCGAAGGACCUUACCAGGGCUUGACAUGCAAGUGGUAGCGAUCCGAAAGGUGAGCGACCCGCAAGGGAGCUUGCACAGGUGUUGCAUGGCUGUCGUCAGCUCGUGGCGUGAGCUGUAUGGUUAAGUCCCAUAACGAGCGCAACCCCCGCCGUUAGUUAUAUAUGUCUAACGGGACUGCCUCGGUAACGGGGAGGAAGGUGGGGACGACGUCAAGUCAGCAUGGCCCUUAUGCCCUGGGCGACACACACGCUACAAUGGCGGCUACAACAGGUUGCAAUGCGGUAACGCGGAGCUAAUCCCUAAAAGCCGUCUCAGUUCGGAUUGGGGGCUGAAACCCGCCCCCAUGAAGCUGGAAUCGCUAGUAAUGGCCGGUCAGCCAGACGGCCGUGAAUACGUUCUCGGGUCUUGUACACACCGCCCGUCAGAUGGGGAAAGUUGGGGCUAGCCGAAUCCCGCCUUAGGCGGGGCAAGCUGGAAUCAGCGUAUCAACAUCAAGUCGUAACAAGGUA
rnacentral:rRNA from 1 species